GACGAACGCUGGCGGCGUGCUUAACACAUGCAAGUCGAACGGAAAGGCCCUGCUUUUGUGGGGUGCUCGAGUGGCGAACGGGUGAGUAACACGUGAGUAACCUGCCCUUGACUUUGGGAUAACUUCAGGAAACUGGGGCUAAUACCGGAUAGGAGCUCCUGCUGCAUGGGGGGGGUUGGAAAGUUUCGGCGGUUGGGGAUGGACUCGCGGCUUAUCAGCUUGUUGGUGGGGGAGUGGCUUACCAAGGCUUUGACGGGUAGCCGGCCUGAGAGGGUGACCGGCCACAUUGGGACUGCGAUACGGCCCAGACUCCUACGGGAGGCAGCAGUGGGGAAUAUUGCACAAUGGGCGGAAGCCUGAUGCAGCAACGCCGCGUGCGGGAUGACGGCCUUCGGGUUGUAAACCGCUUUCGCCUGUGACGAAGCGUGAGUGACGGUAAUGGGUAAAGAAGCACCGGCUAACUACGUG
rnacentral:rRNA from 1 species